GACGAACGCUGGCGGCGUGCUUCACACAUGCAAGUCGAACGGUAAGGCCCUUCGGGGUACACGAGUGGCGAACGGGUGAGUAACACGUGGGUGAUCUGCCCUGCACUUCGUGAUAAGCCUGGGCAACUGGGUCUAAUACCGGAUAGGACCACUGCCUGCAUGGGUGGUGGCGGAAAGCUUUUGCGGUGUGGGAUGGGCCCGCGGCCCAGCAGAUUGUUGGUGGGGUGGUGGCCUACCAAGGCGACGACGAGUAGCCGGCCUGAGAGGGGGACCCGCCACACUGGGACUGAGAUACGGCCCAGACUCCUACGGGAGGCAGCAGUGGAGAAUAUUGCACAAUGGGCGCAAGCCUGAUGCAGCGACGCCGCGUGAGGUAUGACGGCCUUCGGGUUGUAAACCUCUUUCAGCACCGACGAAGCGCAAGUGACGGUAGGUGCAGAAGAAGGACCGGCCAACUACGUGCCAGCAGCCGCCGUAAAAC
rnacentral:rRNA from 1 species